ACUAUGGAGAGUUUGAUCCUGGCUCAGGAUGAACGCUAGCGGCAGGCCUAAUACAUGCAAGACGAACGGUAACUUUUGUAGCAAUAUGAGAGCUAGAGUGUCGUAAGGGUGCGUAACACGUAUGCAAUCUGCCCUCAACAGGAGGAUAGCUCCCCGAAAGGGGAAUUAACACUCCGUAAUAUUAUGAGGUGGCAUCAUUUUAUAAUAAACUGAGGUGGUUGAGGAUGAGCAUGCGCAUGAUUAG
rnacentral:ncRNA from 1 species